AUUGAACGCUGGCGGCAUGCUUUACACAUGCAAGUCGAACGGCAGCGCGGGCUUCGGCCUGGCGGCGAGUGGCGAACGGGUGAGUAAUGCAUCGGAACGUGCCCAGUAGUGGGGGAUAGCCCGGCGAAAGCCGGAUUAAUACCGCAUACGACCUGAGGGUGAAAGCGGGGGACCGAAAGGCCUCGCGCUUUUGUGGCGGCCGAUGUCGGAUUAGCUAGUUGGUGGGGUAAAGGCUUACCAAGGCGACGAUCCGUAGCUGGUCUGAGAGGACGACCAGCCACACUGGGACUGAGACACGGCCCAGACUCCUACGGGAGGCAGCAGUGGGGAAUUUUGGACAAUGGGGGCAACCCUGAUCCAGCCAUGCCGCGUGCGGGAAGAAGGCCUUCGGGUUGUAAACCGCUUUUGUUCGGGAAGAAAUACUCUGGGCUAAUACCCCGGGGGGAUGACGGUACCGGAAGAAUAAGCACCGGCUAACUACGUG
rnacentral:rRNA from 1 species